AGUUUGAAUCCUGGCUCAGGACGAACGCUGGCGGCGUGCCUAAUACAUGCAAGUCGAACGCGUCUCCGUUAAUGAUUUUAGGUGCUUGCACUUGAAAGAUUUAACAUUGAGACGAGUGGCGAACUGGUGAGUAACACGUGGGUAACCUGCCCUUGAAGUAGGGGAUAACACUUGGAAACAGGUGCUAAUACCGUAUAACAACCAAAACCACCUGGUUUUGGUUUAAAAGACGGCUUCGGCUGUCACUUUAGGAUGGACCCGCGGCGUAUUAGCUUGUUGGUAAGGUAACGGCCUACCAAGGCGAUGAUACGUAGCCGACCUGAGAGGGUAAUCGGCCACAUUGGGACUGAGACACGGCCCAAACUCCUACGGGAGGCAGCAGUAGGGAAUCUUCCACAAUGGACGAAAGUCUGAUGGAGCAACGCCGCGUGAGUGAUGAAGGGUUUCGGCUCGUAAAACUCUGUUGUUGGAGAAGAACAGGUGUCAGAGUAACUGUUGACAUCUUGACGGUAUCCAACCAGAAAGCCACGGCUAACUACGUGCCAGCAGCCGCGGUAAUACGUAGGUGGCAAGCGUUGUCCGGAUUUAUUGGGCGUAAAGCGAGCGCAGGCGGUUUUUUAGGUCUGAUGUGAAAGCCUUCGGCUUAACCGGAGAAGUGCAUCGGAAACCGGGAGACUUGAGUGCAGAAGAGGACAGUGGAACUCCAUGUGUAGCGGUGAAAUGCGUAGAUAUAUGGAAGAACACCAGUGGCGAAGGCGGCUGUCUGGUCUGUAACUGACGCUGAGGCUCGAAA
rnacentral:rRNA from 1 species